GUCCCGAUAGUUCAAUGGAUAGAACGGGAGCCUUCUAAGCUCUAAACCCAGGUUCGACUCCUGGUCGGGACA
rnacentral:tRNA from 1 species